GGCUGGUCCGAUGGUAGUGGGUUAUCAGAACUUAUUGACAUCAGUGUCACCAAAGUUGGUAUUCAAACCCCGACUGCUAAAUUUGACUAGAAAA
rnacentral:Y_RNA from 1 species